rnacentral:rRNA from 1 species
CAGUAGCCACGGUAAUACAGAGGGUGCGAGCGUUAAUCGGAUUUACUGGGCGUAAAGCGUGCGUAGGCGGCUAAUUGAGUCGGAUGUGAAAUCCCCGAGCUUAACUUGGGAAUUGCAUUCGAUACUGGUUAGCUAGAGUGUGGGAGAGGAUGGUAGAAUUCCAGGUGUAGCGGUGAAAUGCGUAGAGAUCGGGAGGAACAUCAGUGGCGAAGGCGGCCAUCUGGGACAACACUGACGCUGAGGCACGAAAGCGUGGGGAGCAAACAGGAUUAGAUACCCCCGUAGUCCCUGUCUCUUAUAC